UACGUAGGGUGCAAGCGUUGUCCGGAAUUAUUGGGCGUAAAGAGCUCGUAGGCGGUCUGUCGCGUCUGCUGUGAAAACUCAGGGCUUAACCCUGAGCUUGCAGUGGGUACGGGCAGACUAGAGUGCGGUAGGGGAGACUGGAAUUCCUGGUGUAGCGGUGAAAUGCGCAGAUAUCAGGAGGAACACCGGUGGCGAAGGCGGGUCUCUGGGCCGUAACUGACACUCAGGGACGAAAGCUAGGGGAGCGAAUGGG
rnacentral:rRNA from 1 species